CACGUAGGGGCCAAGCGUUGUCCGGAUUUAUUGGGCGUAAAGAGCUCGUAGGCGGUUCGACAAGUCGGAUGUGAAAACUCCGGGCUCAACCCGGAGACGCCACCCGAUACUGUCGUGACUGGAGUCCGGUAGGGGAGUGGGGAAUUCCUGGUGUAGCGGUGAAAUGCGCAGAUAUCAGGAGGAACACCGGUGGCGAAGGCGCCACUCUGGGCCGGUACUGACGCUGAGGAGCGAAAGCCAGGGGAGCAAACGGG
rnacentral:rRNA from 1 species